rnacentral:rRNA from 1 species
CCUACGGGAGGCUGCAGUGGGGAAUAUUGGACAAUGGGGGGAACCCUGAUCCAGCCAUGCCGCGUGUGUGAAGAAGGCCCUCGGGUUGUAAAGCACUUUCAGUGAGGAAGAACGCCUGGUGGUUAAUACCCAUCAGGAAAGACAUCACUCACAGAAGAAGCACCGGCUAACUCCGUGCCAGCAGCCGCGGUAAUACGGAGGGUGCGAGCGUUAAUCGGAAUUACUGGGCGUAAAGCGCGCGUAGGUGGCUUGAUAAGCCGGUUGUGAAAGCCCCGGGCUCAACCUGGGAACGGCAUCCGGAACUGGCAAGCUAGAGUGCAGGAGAGGAAGGUAGAAUUCCAGGUGUAGCGGUGAAAUGCGUAGAGAUCGGGAGGAAUACCAGUGGCGAAGGCGGCCUUCUGGACUGACACUGACACUGAGGUGCGAAAGCGUGGGUAGCAAACAGGAUUAGAUACCCCGGUAGUC